rnacentral:rRNA from 1 species
AGUGAACGCUGGCGGUAGGCCUAACACAUGCAAGUCGAACGGCAGCACAGUAAGAGCUUGCUCUUACGGGUGGCGAGUGGCGGACGGGUGAGGAAUACAUCGGAAUCUACUUUUUCGUGGGGGAUAACGUAGGGAAACUUACGCUAAUACCGCAUACGACCUACGGGUGAAAGCAGGGGAUCUUCGGACCUUGCGCGAUUGAAUGAGCCGAUGUCGGAUUAGCUAGUUGGCGGGGUAAAGGCCCACCAAGGCGACGAUCCGUAGCUGGUCUGAGAGGAUGAUCAGCCACACUGGAACUGAGACACGGUCCAGACUCCUACGGGAGGCAGCAGUGGGGAAAUAUUGGACAAUGGGCGCAAGCCUGAUCCAGCCAUACCGCGUGGGUGAAGAAGGCCUUCGGGUUGUAAAGCCCUUUUGUUGGGAAAGAAAAGCAGCAGGUUAAUACCCCGCUGUUCUGACGGUACCCAAAGAAUAAGCACCGGCUAACUUCGUG